UUCCCUUCGGGGGCAGGGGUGACAGGUGGUGCAUGGUUGUCGUCAGCUCGUGUCGUGAGAUGUUGGGUUAAGUCCCGCAACGAGCGCAACCCUUGUCCUUAGUUGCCAGCAUUUGGUUGGGCACUCUAGGGAGACUGCCGGUGACAAACCGGAGGAAGGUGGGGAUGACGUCAAAUCAUCAUGCCCCUUAUGAGUUGGGCUACACACGUGCUACAAUGGACGGUACAAAGGGCAGCGAAGCCGCGAGGUGGAGCCAAUCCCAGAAAGCCGUUCUCAGUUCGGAUUGCAGGCUGCAACUCGCCUGCAUGAAGUCGGAAUCGCUAGUAAUCGCAGGUCAGCAUACUGCGGUGAAUACGUUCCCGGGCCUUGUACACA
rnacentral:rRNA from 1 species